GGGGAAUAUUGGACAAUGGGGGCAACCCUGAUCCAGCAAUGCCGCGUGUGUGAAGAAGGCCGGCGGGUUGUAAAGCACUUUGGUUGGGGAGGAAAGAUAUACAGAGAAUAUCUGUGUAAGUUGACGUUACCCAAAGAACAAGCACCGGCUAACUCUGUGCCAGCAGCCGCGGUAAUACAGAGGGUGCGAGCGUUAAUCGGAAUUACUGGGCGUAAAGGGCGCGUAGGCGGCUAUAUAAGUUAUGUGUGAAAUCUCUGGGCUUAACCUGGGAACUGCCCAUAAUACUGUGUAGCUAGAGUAGAGUAGAGGAAAGUGGAAUUUCCGGUGUAGCGGUGAAAUGCGUAGAUAUCGGAAGGAACACCAGUGGCGAAGGCGGCUUUCUGGACUCAUACUGACGCUGAGGCGCGAAAGCGUGGGGAGCAAA
rnacentral:rRNA from 1 species